UAUUAACCCCUUUGCAUGUUUCAAAUCUGUCCGGUGGACAUUACAUACAUAUACUUCCGGGUCAAAUCUGCCGUUUUGCGUCACCAACUUUGUCAGCUGAGACUGUGCUGGAGGCACGGAGAGAGGAGCAACAGAAGCACUUGUAGCUGCAGCUUCUGGAUGCACUUGCCUUUUUGAUGAUGCGUUAUCCCUGCUCGUGCUAGCAUUGUUUUUCUGUUUGCUAAACCAAGAUCUAAUAUCCAUUUUAGCAAGCUACUGUACCAAAGUGUCUUCUUCGACCGCAUCUAAAACUGUUGAAUAGUAACCUAGAGCGCCCUCUGUUGACCAUCUUCAGCCAAUAAAUUUGCAUGAGGUGUUGUAAUCUGUCCUGGGUGAGCCAGAUCGGCAAAUAGGCAGGCCGGACCUGCCCCUGAGGCCAGGGGAUUUGAGGAGCGGUGUUGCCACACUUCAGCGCCGGUUGAUAAUGUCACGUUAGGUAACCUCCAGCCUCAGCCUGCUCCAGUCGAAUUUGUUCUGUAUCCUGUGUGCUUUGACUUGUGCUUAUUCAGCCCUCCCUGUUUACAGAAGUUUCUGUCCUGGAUCCCUGAAGUGUGUUUGCCUCACCGUCGCUCACCUCCCCUGGCCGCCCGCUCUCCACUGUCCACCUGCCUUGGAUCCUCCUCAACGAUCAGCCACUCACCUCUGCCUGACCCAUCUCAGACUAGACCUGACCUGCCUCCCCCUCAAGCCCAUUCUCAGCCCAGCAUCACCCGGAGUUACAUCCUGUCUCGCUUAUGGAACAGCGCCCUUAGUUUCCCUUUUAAAUUCUUUUAUAAUAAACAUUUUGUAAAUUCUUACCUGUUUUCCCAUGUGUGAUUCUUUCAUGUGGGCCCAGAAACUUCCACCCACCAUGACAAAAUCAGUUUUCCUCAUUUCCCUUCCCGAGGACCGGUAUCCAGCUUGUUUUAGUGGUUUCCUUAAUUCAACACACUCAAUUCACCUGGUUAGCUCAUCAAGCUCUUUAAAAGGCCACUUAUGGAGCUAGGAUUGGGACAAUAAUACAUGUCCCUCUAGGAUUAAUAAAGUCUAUUUGAAUUGAAUGUAGCUUGUACCAGGUUUUGUAGCUUGUACCAAGUUACGACUAAAAACACACAUCUCAGUCUACUGUUACAAAACUUAAAUCUACGUGUUACAAAACAUUUUGUCCCAAUUCCAGCUUCUUUCCUAAAGAACGGAUGGCAGAUAAAUUAAACUAAGAACUGCUUAAGAACUUACAUUUUGAACUAGAGCAGGAUGUUGCAUCCAAGACACAUGAUUGGCUGAUAAGACAAAGCCUGUCAUUGAGUCUUUGGAAAAAGGAAGCUAGAAAUUGGACAAAAAACUGUGUACACGUAACUUUUGGACUGUAGACUGAGAUCUGUUAAAGUUAAAUGUUACAAAACAAAUGACAUGCUACAAAACAAGUUACAUGUUUCUAAAUGAAAGUUACAUGUUACAAAAUGAGAGUUAGGUGUUACAAAAAGAAAGUUGCAUGUUACAAAAUGUGAAUUACAUGCUAUAAAAUGAAAGUUACAGUUACAUGUUUCAAAUUAAAUGUAAUAGUGUCCCAAUCCUAGCUCCAUACUUAAUCACCUGGGGCCUCAUUGAUAAAGCUUGCUUACACACAAAACGGAGUCGGGAAACCACAUAAGCUACUUUCCACACACACUUUGGGAUUUAGAAAAGAAAACGUAGCCGAAAAAUGUGCGCAACUUUAAGUUGACUAAGGACCUGGCUUACACACACUUUGGACAUGGAGAGCACCUUCAGUGCUACUGCUGAGAAUGAUACAAUUAUGAAUUCCAGCAGCAUUAUAAUUGUACCGCGUCCUGCGCACAGAGAACAAGUGUUGAGGGCGGGACGUGAUUCAGAAACAGCUGAGCACAUUCCUAGAAAUGUUCUGAAUUAUAAAGCAAAGACUGUGUGAAGCUGUGCAUACUCCAUGUUUUAUAGAUCACAAACCUACUUGGCGUAAAUACUUUUUAUUUUUUAUUUUUAUUUUGCUGAGCUUAAGUACAGUUUUAGUAAGGAUUCUAUGCAAUGUUUUAUAAAUGAGACCCCUGCUGAUUAAAAUCAGAUAUGCUGAAGCAGGAAAAACAAUAAAAUGUGCUGGAUACUGGCUCUCAGUGAAGGGAGUUGGAGAUCACUGCUCUACAUUGUUCCUAUAGGUGCAUUGUUGUUUUUCCCUGUGAGUACUUGUGACGGACUGGUGACCUUUCCAGGGUGUCCCCUGCCUCUCGUCCGAUUAGUGCUGGAGUUAAGCAGCAGCUCCAUGCCACUCUAUUGAGGAUGAAGCGAUUAGGAUAAUGGCUUGAUAGACAUGUCAGUUUCUUUAAGUACUUCAUAUCAGUAAAUGGACUAAUGACCUGUUGAGCAUGUCCCCUGCUUUUAUUUUCACCCAAUAACUACUAGAACUGACCUGUUCUCUAAACAGGGAUACAAGUUUUUACAGAAUAGAUGGGCACUAGUAAAUGAACAAGAAUCUGUUGUUUUUCAUACCUAAAACCUGGCCAUUGUUACAUGAGGCUGAUUCAGUCAAACAUUUAUGUGAAAGCUUUGGCCUAAAAAGUGGAUUCUGAUUACAUGGUUGUGGGUAUAUGAACAGAAUCUAACUAUAUUCCAAGCUAACGUUACAUUUAUAUUUUUCAGCACAAGGUCAACAGGAAUCACAAAAUGUGACAAUCUGAGCACAGUGAGGAAGCAAUCUUUAUUUAAAGAUCUAGUUCACUAGUUUUUUCUUUAGUUUUUCUGUACAUUUGCAAUGGUUUCAAGUAUAAAGGGCCCUUUUUAGAAGACACUACACUGCCACUACAGUGUGUCUUAAGAAUGCACCGUGGCGGCAUGGAGAUGCUGACAUUUUGCAGCAUUUAUGCCGCCAUGCUAGUAACAUUACCACAACACCGUGAAUGAAUGUAAUACAAUACAAUAUAUAUAAUAAGUAUUAGUAUUUGUAUUAGUUUUGCUCAAGUCAAAAACAAAUUUUUUUCAGUGAACUUGGUCUUCAAGGUAACUCUUCCAUAUGAAAAUUUAUCAAAACACCAGACAAUGGGGUAUAUUUGUAUCUCAUUAUCAAAGUUUAAACGUUUUUCAUUUUGCACCUCCCUACUAAGUGAAGAUUUUAGCCUUUAAACCAGCUGUGUUGUUUCAAAGAAAUGAAUAAAUAUGCAGAACGAAGUUGCUCUUGGCAACCACUACACAGCAAACACAUCUGAGGUCAGGUCCCAUUCAAAACAACAGAACUGUGUAACUUUCACACCUAAUUAUGAAAAAAAGUUUUACAAUUCGAACAAUACACUGAUUCACUAACUGCUGUGUGAAAUGGAGAUUUUCUUCCAGUAUUUACCAAAUUAACUCUUGCAUAAAAAUAGUUUUCCUCUUUUUUUUGUUGCCUUUUUGUUGGUAUUUGGCAAGCAGCCAAAUAAUCAAGCUUGAAUAACUGGAUGACAAACAAACUGUAAAACAUUGCAAAUGAGUUUUUCCACAUUUUGAUAAGUUGUAAAUCCUAAUGACCCUAUAGAGCUGCAAUGACUCAGAUAACAAACUCCAUCAGGAUCAUUUACUUGGCUUGUCAGCAUUGUUGUCAAACUGUGCAGAGUGCAUCAUUCAUCAACAUCACAACAGUUGUUUUCCACAUCAGAAGAGACAUUUUCAAAAUGAUUAUGCUAACAUCAUUGUAUUUCUAAUUAUAUAUUUUUUUCAUGUCAGACUACAAAGAUAAAGACCCAAGAGAACUGAAUAAAAACUGACAUUUAGAGGUAUUUAUAACUGUUUAAGCUUCAUAAGUAUCAGGGUUUGGGCAUCUUUUCUCAUCAAGAAAGCCUUUCAUUAUGAACAUUUUAAAUUUGAUAGUUUUCUCAAUGUUUAGCAAUUCAGUGGGAUAAGAACUAGAAUUACAUCAGAAUUAUCUACAGACAAGUCCUUAUGAUUCUCUUUUUUGUGUGUCUGGCCUGGGGGUCCUUAGUUUGCAUUCAAGGUCCAAUAAGACAUGUUUGAUCUUUACAAUACAAAUGCCAGUAAAAGUUAAGCUUGGAGUUUUAAUUUACUCUAAAAUUCAUACUCUCGCCCUACGAACAAUACCCCAGUAAGCUCCAACACUUUGUGCACUUCAAAGGCCCUAACACUGAGGAUUCUGACUUAAAACAAAAGAAGCUUCUGCUUUCUUUCAGGUUUUAGAGGGCAAUAUCAACAGGAAACCUCUAAAGAAUGACAAUGGGAACUCUACAAGGAAGAAAAAAAAUCCCUGUAAAGUUUUUACCUUUUUCUCAAAUUCUUUUGCAAAGUUAUUGAAACAAACGACUGUACGGCUAGUGCCAAGACAAAGCUUGUAAAAAGUGCAGAGAAUAACCGAAUGUGCCCCAUCUUAUCAUCCGCUACCACUGCACAGAUUAGUGCUGAACGGAAUAGAAAAAGGUUGUGAAAAAGGGGAGAAAAAAAGAAUAAAAGCUGCUCUCAAGUAUUAGAACAGACAGUUGCAUUAGCUUUCUAAUAAGAAGAGACAGAGCAAUACUGAGCCCUGAAAGGAGAGGGAAAAAAGAGAGAAUUUGCUCACUCCUUGCAGGGUCUUCCACCACCAGAUUCUCACCCACCCAUAGUGUCGCUCUCCACCCUCAUGCCCCCUCCCUUCUUUCAUCUUAAAUCAGAUAGCAACAGAAGAAGCAUGUCAUAGGUUUAACUCAUACAGUAUUAAUUAUACUCCCGUCCCCUGACCUGACUGCUAAAGAUAAUCUCCUUCCCACAACCCUGCUUUCUAAAUGGAGUGCUCUUAUCGUUUCUAAAGCGGAAUCCUUUACCAUCGGCUGCACCCUGGUGCCAUGUGAUCCCCUUUGUCCUGUAGCCCCUGAUGAUUUAUGAGGCUUCCAGCUAGUAGUGGUGGUAAUAUUCUGAAUAUGUCAGACAAGGCAAGGAAAAAGUCCUUCUCAAUUUCCAGUCAGCAGAGUGACUGUAUUAUGAUGAUGAGUCUGCAGUUCUUCACCAGCGUGUCCAUUUGACAAGUAGCUCUGCAUUGCAGCUGGCUCACAGUGGAUUCAACUGCUGUGGAAAGAACUCAAAUUAACUUGCUUUACAUCCUUCAUACAAUCCUCCAUCUAUGUUGUUUUAUAUUGUUUUAUAUUAUAUUACACAGUUUCGUUUUAAUAGUCAUUAAUUGCAUUAAUCACCAGCAGGUGUACCAGCACCUGCUGGUGAUUGUUGACACUUGUCCCCUGUCAAACAAACCUGCUAUGUGGAGCUUUCUGAUUGGUGUUUGUGUUGGUUAAGAACUUCUCCUUACUGCUGAGGGAGUGGGCGGUGGUGUGGGCGCAGUUUGGCGCCCCCUUCUGGAUGGCACCCUAGGUGGCGGCCUUGAUCGCCUGUAGGACGGACCACCACUUAUGAUGAGGUCACAAAAUCACAGGAAAAAUGUAACAUCAUGCAUUAUUUGGGAAGUUCACGACAGCAAGCAAGGACAAAGAAGACAGCAUGUAUCCAGGCCUAAGGUUUGUUCUCUGUGGGUACAAUUUCAUUACCAACACCUCCUAUAAAGAU
ensembl:lncRNA